AAGAAAAAAAGAGAAAAACUUGUACUCGAGUUUUCUUUGAAGUCUCUUCACGAACUCACCACUCGAUUUUCUUCUGUGAUUAAGUGCUACUUUUUUUGAUUCUUUCGCGAGAUGGAGACGGAGAGUAGAUAGUUUUGGGGGUUUCUCUUUUAAUCUUCUUUUGUUGUUGAUUGAGGUUUUGAGACUGUUCUUUUUUUUUCUUUUAAGAUUUGAAGAAGGGGUUUUGUGUUUGUGUUGUAGGAAUUCGUCGAUUGAAGGAAAGCUUGGGUUUUUGAUACACUGGAUUGCAAACAGAUUCAAUUUUGUGUUUGUUUCUCUGAAGCAAUAAAUCCUAACCCUAUUUUUUUUAAAAAAAAUUUUGCAGGUACGAUUUUUGUCCAAGAUAAGUUACGGAGAAACCCUAAUACCCAUUCAAGGUUUUAUGGAAAAGAAUGAAGAGGAUUGUGCCAAUUUAUGAUUAAUAAAUAGUAAUAUGUAUACAUAGAUGCUGAAGUAGUUGUAAAGAUGAACUUGGCUCUUGGGAUCCAAGUAAAAGAUAGUGAACAAAUACCAAAACUAAUCUUAAACCAACGGGAGUGGCAGGCCCAUGAGUUUUCCCUUUGAUUAUGUGCCUACUUUAUCACCAAUAUGGAGCCAAUUAAGUUUUGGGAAUUCCUAUCAGUUAUCCUUGGGGGUCAAUUGGCUAUGAGAGGUAAACAUUGAGUUACCUAUUCCCGGCUUUCUUGAAGUAAAGAAUGGAAGAGUACACUGACAACUAAGAGAUCAGCCUGAUGUAGUAAGUCGUGCUUUUAACAUUAAGUUAAAGCAGCUGUAACUGGAUCUUCGCGACAGUAGGCAUUUUGGAAGAGUGAAGGAAGGAUAUAGAGAGAUCUUGAUGAAAAAAAUGGUGGUUCGCUCCAGGAAAUUCCUAUUCAGAAAAUACGAUACCCUGAUAUAUCAAGCAUGAGGGAUUUGGAAAUUCGUUAAUCAUGAAGGAGAUACUACAAGUCUACAACAAAUCGGAACUCUAGGAAGAAUUUGGCAGGCUGAGGGAAAACCAUUAUUUCUUCGAUGCGUGCGAGAUCCGAGAUAGUUUGGUUGUUGCAACUUCAGUGGUGCGAAAUGUAUACAUGUUGACCAUCAUUUCAUUCCACGGGUAUUGCAUAUAUAUCACUUUCCGGUGGCCAUACAACGCGUUCCAGAUUCAAGAUUUUUAUAAGGCUGGAUGAGAUGAACUUACCGGGCUGCUAAAAAAAGACGAACUUAAUUAUAUGGGAUGAAUCUCUCAUGGAAAAUCGAUAUGCAUUCGAGGCACUGGAUAAAACUUUGAGAGAUGUGAUGACACUCUAAGGUGGCGAUACUGCUAACACAAAACCAUUCGGUAUUCUUCAUUAUCUUAGCACCAACUAAUCAAAGUGUAAAAGAGGUGAAUUAUCAUAUGAUAGACACCUGCGGAAGAGUAUGAAUUGUUGAGUGCAGAUUCAAUCAAUCCGCAAUCGUACAAUUUCCAAGAAGCAGUGGUGUUGAACAUUAAGAAAUUUCUAAAUGGAUUACAAAUAUCAGGCAUGCCAAGACACAAGAUGUCACAUUAAGUUGGUUUUUCAUAAUGCUUCUCAGAAAUAUUGAUCAUCCAGGAUUUGUGCAAUGGACUAGAAUUAUCGUUAAAGAAGUGGGAAUGUAAUGCAGGCGAUCGCAACUCUCACUCAUUCUACAUAGGAGGCAGUUUCCAUUGAAGAUGUGUUUCCAUUUAUUUAGAUGAACCUGUUUUCUCUCAUGGCCAGUUGCGUUUGAAGUUUCGAGGACUACAAGCCGAAGCCAUCAAGGAUGUAUAGAAAACGCAGUUGUUUAUGAAAAGAUAUUCGGUAAUCUGAAGUGAUACCAACACCAGUCUCAUGUAGUUCAAAAAAAUUUCAAGUGCAAUUGGAUCGUUGCUUUUUAAGAUUGUCUAGAUUAAUUAUUUAGUUUUUUUUUUUUUUGAAGGAUAACUUUUUUCAGUUGGAUCUAAUCUAAUGGGUUUUAUUGACCGUGGGAUCACCCUGAGUUAUGUUAAUGGAAGAAAUUGCAUUCGACGA